AUGACGAAUAGGUUCGCUUUCGAGGAGAAGGAGAUGGCACGCAUGCUUCUGCUUGUGUCGCGGGAGCAGCCGAUGCCCAUGCCGAUGCCGGUGGCAGUGCACGGUGACCGCGCCCUGGAGCGGGUGUUCGUGUGCAAGACGUGCGACCGCGUGUUCCCGUCGUUCCAGGCGCUGGGCGGGCACCGGGCCAGCCACAAGAAGCCACGGCUGGACGACGGCGGCGACCUCAAGCCCAAGCUGCACGGAUGCUCCGUCUGCGGCCUCGAGUUCGCCAUCGGCCAGGCGCUCGGCGGCCACAUGCGGCGCCACCGCGCCAUGGCCGCGGGCGGAGGCGGUGGCCUCAUGGCCAUGACGCCACCGGCAGCAGCGAUAGAGAAGCAUGGUGGCGGCAACGGCGCUGUUGUCGGCAUGAAACGCGGGCUGUGGCUCGACCUGAACCACCCACCUUGCGACGAGUACGGCGCCAGCUGCGAGGGCGACGACGAGUGCGGCCACGAUGCAGCUGCCGCCGGGUACACGUUCCACCAGUUCCUGGAUAUCGGCACCAUGGCGGUGGACUGCGUCUAG
rnacentral:rRNA from 1 species